AUUGAACGCUGGCGGCAUGCUUUACACAUGCCAGUCGAACGGUAACAGGCCUUCUGGUGCUGACGAGUGGCGCACGGGUGCGUAAUGCAUCGGAACGUACCCAGAGGUGGGGGAUAACGCAGCGAAAGCUGUGCUAAUACCGCAUGUGAUCUGAGGAUGAAAGCGGGGGACCGAGCAGCAAUGUUUGGCCUCGCGCCUUUGUACCGGCCGAUGUCGGAUUAGCUAGUUGGUGGGGUAAAGGCCUACCAAGGCGACGAUCCGUAGCUGGUCUGAGAGGACGACCAGCCAAACUGGAACUGAGACACGGCCCAGAGUCCUACGGGAGGCAGCAGUGGGGAAUGUUGGACAAUGGGCGCAAGCCUGAUCCAGCAAGGCCGCGUGCGGGAAGAAGGCCUUCGGGUUGUAAACCGCUUUUGGCAGGAACGAAACGGUGUCCGCUAAUACCGGGCGCUAAUGACGGUACCUGCAGAAUAAGCACCGGCUAACUACGUG
rnacentral:rRNA from 1 species